rnacentral:rRNA from 1 species
AACAAACGCUGGCGGCGUGCAUAACACAUGCAAGUCUAACGGGAAAGUCGGCUUCGGCUGGCAAGUACCGUGGCGAACGGGUGAGUAACACGUGGGUAAUCUAACCUCGAGUUUGGGAUAACCUUGCGAAAGCGGGGCUAAUACCGAAUAAGACCACGCUUGGUUCGACAAGUGCGGUAAAAGGCGGCCUCUUCUUGAAAGCUGUACCUUGAGGAUGAGCCCGCGGCCUAUUAGCUAGUUGGUGGGGUAAUGGCCUACCAAGGCGACGAUGGGUAGCCGGCCUGAGAGGGUGUACGGCCACACUGGCACUGAGAUACGGGCCAGACUCCUACGGGAGGCAGCAGUGGGGAAUUUUGCGCAAUGGGGGGAACCCUGACGCAGCAACGCCGCGUGAGUGAUGAAGGCCUUCGGGUCGUAAAGCUCUUUUAGUGGGGAAGAAUCCCACCCGGGCUAAUAUCUCGGGUGUCUGACGGUACCCACAGAAAAAGUUCCGGCUAACUCCUUGCCAGCCGCCGCGGUAAUAC